rnacentral:lncRNA from 1 species
AAUUAAUUUUUGUGUGUGUGUUUUUUGUUCUGUUAUGGUGGAACGGUGGAGAGAAAAGAUGUUCGCGAAUAUGGGCAAUUCGAGAUCCAAGUAGAAACGGAGUGCAUAUUGUUUAAAGGCUUAUAGACUGGACGAAAAAUGUCAUCAGCUGACGGAACAGCUGACAUGCCCAUAAAAAUUCUACGGAGUUAGUUAUUUCUCCCCUAGAUGUCUUGAAAAUAUACGGGAAAUGUCAGCUGUCCCGUCAGCUGUUCCAUUUCGCGUGGCUUCUGACUGAGGAUGGCUGCUGAUACGAACUUCUCUCUUCUUGAAAUUUUACCACCUAUGCCGUGUGUUUUGAGUUGCAUCUGGUGAAUUCAAUCAAUGCUGAGUUGUUCAAGGAGGAACAUGGGGCUUUGCUAGCACGUUUUUCAUCUCCGUUAGUCUGAUAUACCCAUUUUGUUUCAAAGGUCUUUAUCACCUGAUGUACUGUUGUGGCUGUGGAAUCAUUCAGUGACUUGGUUCAAUCCAGGACUUGGUUUCUUCGAAAAUGGUUUACAGUUUUAAUUUGCAGAGAUCCUGGAGGCACCUGAUGUGUUUCAUUGGCGUUGGAGUCACUCGGUGACAGAAGAGAAUGCCUCUAAUGUUAUGUUGUCAGUGUAAAUAAAACAUAUUCAGUAUCA